rnacentral:rRNA from 1 species
UACCAGCACCCCGAGUGGUCGGGACGAUUAUUGGGCCUAAAGCAUCCGUAGCCGGUUUUACAAGUCCUCCGUUAAAUCCAGCUGCUUAACAGAUGGGCUGCGGAGGAUACUAUAAGACUAGGAGGCAGGAGAGGCAAGCGGUACUCAGUGGGUAGGGGUAAAAUCCGUUGAUCCAUUGAAGACCACCAGUGGCGAAGGCGGCUUGCCAGAAUGCGCUCGACGGUGAAAGAUGAAAGCUGGGGGAGCAAACCGG